ensembl:lncRNA
CCACUCAGAAGGACAUUUUAGAGACUUUAUUGCCAUCCGCCAAGAGACUCUCAAAAGGAUCCCUGUAACCACAAAGCCUGUAGGUUUUAAGUUGCUAACAGCUACUUAGGAUCUGAGACUCUCAAUCUAACAGUUCUUGAAGAACAAGAAGUCUGCCAAUAACCAUGUAAGGAGCUUGGAAGCAAAGACUUUCCUAACUGCACCUUCAGGGGGCCACUGAUUCUUUGGAUUUAGCAUCAGUCUACUUUCCUUAUAUAAUGAUUGUAAAGGGCAGAGUUAAUGGCACAUUAUGUGCUUGGAAGACUAUCAUGACCCCUGAGUGGCCCCUCCCCAGCCAUAAUCACCACCUAAGUAAAGAAAAUCCAACCCUCUCAGGAGGCCUUCAUCUCUGGAGAGCCCCUUGCUCCAAUAUCGGAAAAACAAAGAGCUGUAUGUUUCUGCACAGAAGAACAUGUUAAGGACAUUUUAACUUCAGUUGUCCACAGAGAGAACCUAACAAGAUUUCUGUAGCCAUGAAGCCUACAGUUUUUAAGUUGCUUUAGUCUUCUCAGAUCAUGAUGGUUUUCUCAGGCUACUCAGCAUCUUCUGUUAACCUGAAUGGGCUCAUGUCCUGAGUAGAAAGUUUCAGACAAACAUGAAUACAGCAAAUAAAAAAAUUGAAUACUGGAUUGUGUUCCUGCCAUGAUUGGGGGUGUUUUGAAGCUGUGUGGUGAGAAAGUGACAGGCAUCACAAACUCUUUGUUUUCUAGUUCUAUCCUCCCAUAAUAGUCACACCCCUCUCCCUUGUCUCUCUCAAUAUAUGGGAUAUAGAUUCAAAAUACUUUGGAUUUGAAGGUGAAAAUCCUAAUAUAACCAUCAAUCAUUCGUUGUUCCUCUAUGUGGUGAAGUAGUCAGAAUAUUUGCU